AUUGAACGCUGGCGGCAUGCCUAACACAUGCAAGUCGAACGCGAAAGAGGGGCAACUCUUGAGUAGAGUGGCGGACGGGUGAGUAAUACGUAGGAAUCUGCCCUGGAGUGUGGAAUAACCCAUCGAAAGAUGGGCUAAUACCACAUAAUCUCUAAGGAGCAAAGGGGGCUAGCAAUAGCUUUCGCUGUGGGAGGAGCCUACGUCGGAUUAGCUAGUUGGUAGGGUAAAGGCCUACCAAGGCGACGAUCCGUAGCUGGUUUGAGAGGACGAUCAGCCACACUGGAACUGAGACACGGUCCAGACUCCUACGGGAGGCAGCAGUGGGGAAUAUUGGACAAUGGGGGAAACCCUGAUCCAGCAAUGCCGCGUGUGCGAUGAAGGCCUGCGGGUUGUAAAGCACUUUCGGUGGGGAAGAAAUGCUCAAGUAUAAUACAUUUGAGAGCUGACAUUACUCACAUAAGAAGCACCGGCAAACUCUGUGCCAGCCGCCGCAGUAACAC
rnacentral:rRNA from 1 species